rnacentral:rRNA from 1 species
AGUGAACGCUGGCGGUAGGCCUAACACAUGCAAGUCGAACGGCAGCACAGUAAGAGCUUGCUCUUACGGGUGGCGAGUGGCGGACGGGUGAGGAAUACAUCGGAAUCUACUUUUUCGUGGGGGAUAACGUAGGGAAACUUACGCUAAUACCGCAUACGACCUACGGGUGAAAGCAGGGGAUCUUCGGACCUUGCGCGAUUGAAUGAGCCGAUGUCGGAUUAGCUAGUUGGCGGGGUAAAGGCCCACCAAGGCGACGAUCCGUAGCUGGUCUGAGAGGAUGGGCAGCCAGACUGGAAGAGAGACACGGUCCAGACUACUGCGGGAGGCAGCAGUGUGGAAUAUGCGAGGAGGGGCGAAGGUCUGAUACAGCCAUACGGGGUGAAUGAAGAAGGCCUUCGGGUUGUAAAGCCCUUCUGUUGGGAAAGAAAAACAGCGCGUUAAUACGCCGCGGGUCUGAAGGUACCCAAAGAAUAAGAACCGGCUAAAUUCGUG